rnacentral:rRNA from 1 species
CAAGGGCCACUCCCUGCCCCCCGGCCGCGUGGCGGCCGCGGGAUUCGAUUCCUACGGGAGGCAGCAGUGAGGAAUAUUGGUCAACGGACGCAAGUCUGAACCUGCCCUGCCGCGUGCGAGAACACGGCCUUAUGGGUUGUAAACUGCUUUUAUAUAGGGUGAAAAUUAUCUACGUGUAGAUAACUGACGGUACUAUAAGAAUAAGGACCGGCUAACUCCGUGCCAGCAGCCGCGGUAAUACCGAGGGUUCAAGCGUUAUCCGGAUUUAUUGGGUUUAAAGGGUCCGUAGGCUGGCGAUUACUCAGAGGUGAAAGCUUACCGCUUAACGGUGAAACUGCCUUUGAUACUGGUUGUCCCUGAAUGCAUUUGAAUUAUGCUGAAUAUGUACUGUAGCGGCGAAAUGCAUAGAUAUUACAUAGAACACCAAUUGCGAAUGCAGCUUAAUAAGAUGUUAUUGACGCUGAUGGACGAAUUCGUGGGCAGCGAACGGGAUUAUAUACCCUGGUAUUCCACGCCAUAAACGAUGUUCACUCCGUGCUUGCUUCGUAGAGGUGAGUGCGCUGGCCAAGGUAUUAAGUUAACCACCUGGGGAGUACACUCGCAAGACUUGAAACUGAUUGCGAGUUCGAUCGGGGAAUCACUAUUGAAUUCACGCGCCGCCUGCCGGUCGAACCAUAUGGCGAGAACUUCCAAAGCCGUUCGAGG